GAAUGUGAGGGUGAUCUUGCUGCAGCAUCUGUCACCUCAUUGAUCACCAGAAUUGAUUUGGCUGAUCUGGCUUUUUAGGUGGGCAUUCCUGUCCUCCCUCACUUCUUCGUGUGCCCCCCCCUCCCACUCACUCAGUGGAAGAGGGUGACCCUAUCCCAGAUAGAAGUAUAUUGUUCUUUGCUCAAGUAGAUUCGAUUGAUNUAAGUUGACCUUAGAAGAAGAUUAUCUGAACUAACCUGGCUUUUUUUU
rnacentral:sRNA from 1 species